GGCGAGUGAAGCGGUAACAGCUCAAAUUUGAAAUCUGGCCUCACGGUCCGAGUUGUAAUUUGUAGAGGAUGCUUCGAGCAUGGUCUGGCCUAAGUUCCUUGGAACAGGACGUCAUAGAGGGUGAGAAUCCCGUAUGCGGCCAGGUGCCUACGCUCAUGUGAAGCUCCUUCGACGAGUCGAGUUGUUUGGGAAUGCAGCUCAAAAUGGGUGGUAAAUUUCAUCUAAAGCUAAAUAUUGGCCAGAGACCGAUAGCGCACAAGUAGAGUGAUCGAAAGAUGAAAAGCACUUUGGAAAGAGAGUUAAACAGUACGUGAAAUUGUUGAAAGGGAAGCGCUUGCAACCAGACUUGCGCGCGGCCGAUCAUCCGGUGUUCUCACCGGUGCACUCGGCCGUGCUCAGGCCAGCAUCGGUUUUGGCGGCUGGAUAAAGGCCCUAGGAAUGUGGCUCCUCUCGGGGAGUGUUAUAGCCUAGGGUGCAAUGCAGCCUGCUGGGACCGAGGACCGCGCUUCGGCUAGGAUGCUGGCGUAAUGGUUGUAAGCGGCCCGUCUUGAAACACGGACCAAGGAGUCUAACAUCUAUGCGAGUGUUUGGGUGUCAAACCCAUACGCGUAAUGAAAGUGAACGGAGGUGAGAACCCUUAAGGGUGCAUCAUCGACCGGUCCUGAAGUUUACGGAAGGAUCUGAGUAAGAGCAUAGCUGUUGGGACCCGAAAGAUGGUGAACUAUGCCUGAAUAGGGUGAAGCCAGAGGAAACUCUGGUGGAGGCUCGCAGCGGUUCUGACGUGCAAAUCGAU
rnacentral:rRNA from 1 species